rnacentral:lncRNA from 1 species
AUGAUUUUUAAGGCCCUCACUGUAUUAAAAGUUAUCUUUAAAAGAGGACCGUUCAUUUCAGGAAAAACCUUUCCAACUCCAAAAAAGCAGAAGGGCUUUUCUUUCUGGUGCCCUGUGAGCUUCAUCUCCACAUCGCUUCUCCCCUUUCUGCUCCCUCACCUCCUCCCAGCCUCACUUCUAACACACCUAGGGAGACAUAGCAGAGACUAUUUUUUUUUUUCACCCGUACUGUUUCCCUCACCUCCCCGAGCAGCUCUUGCUCUGUUUCUCCUCUCCCAGCUGCACCACAGGUGCCCACCCAGGGCAGGCUCAGCACAGCAACAGCAGCCAGCCUCCCCUGCCUCCUUAAAUUGCUCUGCCGCACCAGAGCCCCGAUCGCAGCCCCCCUGCUCCCCCCCCCCCGGGCUGCCUCCUGGCCACAGCUUCCUCCCGUUAAACCAUCAGCCUUGCCAGACCUUACCCACCGGGUGCCGGAGCUGUGCAGACAGCCACCUGCCAAAUAUUUGGAGAUCGAUGCUGUGUUUAAACAAGCACACAAAAUUGCUGAAGAAUUCUCACAGGUGUAGAUGGGCRCUGAUUUCUUUCCUUUGGGUUUUAGCAGCCCUUGAGCUAUUCCUUCAGAAAAGAAAGGCUUUAAACCAAAUGGAGUUUUCUACCAAAAAUGUUUUGCUUCACUGUUUAAAAAUAUCGGCCGUGCUUCUGCUGGGCGCGUGUUUCGCAGCUCGCCUGGCAAACGCCGGGCUCGUAUCCGACCCCUCCCGGCAGGCGACCCUCAGCAGCUCCGAGGACCCUCUGCCGUGGCGGGGYGUCAGCGACAGUAACGGUGUUUUGCAGGCGCAGAAAGAGCCGGCCAGGCCGGGAGCCGGAGCGCACAGACCCAGCGGGGAGCACCUGGCUCCCUCCGGCGUGCACCGAGGCCGGGCCGGCGGCCGGCGCUGCCUCCCGGGGUGCCCCGGCCCCUCGGAGCGCUCGGAGGUGGGAGGCACAGUCAGAGACGGGGAGAGAGAGGAGGAAAACGCUUUGGGAUGCUGGGCACAUUCACAUGUAAGUAUGUUAACGCUUUUGAAGAAAUUACCAUGCCCGGGGUUGAGUCAAGCUUCAGAGCUCUCCUUAAGAGUUUGCCUUUCCAGAUGCUUUCAUGCCGGGAAAGGAAAGAAAUGUCCCCAAAGAGCGAGGAGAAGGCUGGAAAGGUCAGCCGCUGAGGCAGCCAGCCUCGAUGCGAUCCCCUCCAUCAAGUGCAGAGUGUCUAACGGCAAAGAAAGCUGCGAAAAGCAGUCAGAUGUCCUAAGGGCAAAGACCAUUUCAUCUGCMACGUCCGCCCCGGCACCACUGGAAGGUGGGAAGUGGCUCCAGAGAGAGCUCGGCCCUGGCGCGCGGGGCAGCCAGCACCUCUCCGCUCUCCCCUCCUCUCCCGUCCCGGGAGAUGGGCCCGGGGGUUCCCAGGCUGGGGGGAACCUGCUGGUUCAGAUCCUGGCCCCGAUAGGUUUAGUUAAAUAUUGCGUUUCAGGCUCAAAUGCAUAA